rnacentral:rRNA from 1 species
UGUACCUACGGGAGGCAGCAGUGGGGAAUAUUGGGCAAUGGAGGCAACUCUUACCCAGCAAUACCGCGUGAGUGAAGAAGGUCUUCGGAUUGUAAAGCUCUUUGAUCAGGGACGAACAGAUGACGGUACCUGAAGAACAAGCCCCGGCUAACUACGUGCCAGCAGCCGCGGUAAAACGUAGGGGGCGAGCGUUGUCCGGAAUGACUGGGCGUAAAGGGUGCGUAGGCGGCAUAAUAAGUUAGAAGUGAAAUACCCAGAGCUUAACUCGGGUGCUGCUUCUAAGACUGUUGAGCUUGAGUGCGGGG